GAAAUGCGAUACCUGGUGUGAAUUGCAGAAUCCCGCGAACCAUCGAGUCUUUGAACGCAAGUUGCGCCCGAGGCCAUCCGGCCGAGGGCACGCCUGCCUGGGCGUCACGCUAAACACGCUCCCACCCCCCCUCAUCGGGGGAGCGGGAUGCGGCAUGUGGCCUCCCGUCUCGCAAGGGGCGGUGGGCCGAAGAUAUGGCUGACGGCGUAUCGUGCCGGACACAGCGCUAGGUGGGCGUUCUCGCUAAGCUUAUCGCAGUGUAUCCGGUACGUAGCUGGCACGAUGGCCUCUAAAGACCCUUUGAACGGUGCGCAUGACGCUCCGACCGCGACCCCAGGUCAGGCGGGACUACCCGCUGAAUUUAA
rnacentral:misc_RNA from 1 species